GGAAAAGAGAGAUCGAGCGGGAGGCAGGGAAAUUAGAGCUCUGUUACGGGAAAAUAGUGUCCUGUUCUUUUCUUAUAAGUGUUGGAUUUUCGGGCAAAGUCAUUAGUGAAUCCUAUGAUGCCCAAUAUUGACCCAGCAGAAGAAAGGGCUAUACUGGGGCAAAUAGGUCGCCAGAUCUGGAGUCGCCAUUGUGAUCAAGGAGUUGAGAAGGGCUCAGGGAGGAUCUAAGAUCCAAUCAUAAAUUCUCUUGGAAGGGGUAGUAUGAAGAUCGGAGCACAACGGAUUUCAUGUACUUUAUUUUCGGCGGGUAAUAGUAAUGGUUUUUUGUCUUUGGAACCGGGGCAUUCCAUGAACAGAGAUGGGGAGAGAGCGAGCGAGAGCAAGACGAGAGUUCGGGAUGGAGCUCAAGGAAGGAUGAAAACAAAGAACCAUCAAUUGAAGGGAUGACAGUAUAUGCUGAGCGAGAGUAUAAAGUGGCGAGGAAAUUUGAAGUCAUUCCUAGGGUAGAGCUUAGAUUUCAUUUGAUUAAUUUAUGGACGUAUUUAUUGCUGAUUUCCAUGUUGUUCGAGUUCAAUCAUGUUCUUUCUCUUCAUAUUUGGGCACUAAUGUGCCGUGAUGUGGAGCAGAGCAAGGAUAGGGGGUGCUAUGCAUGAAUAUGAAUAGAAAGAGAGGGUGAUAGUGUUUAUUCUGAUUAUUUAGGAGACUUAUUGAGGUGAAAAUUUGGAGAAUGAUCUAAACGGUAGUUGGAGCUUGAAAUCAGUUUGUUUAUUAUGUUAAUGGUGAGUAUGUACUGAUGAUUCUAAUUCUUGUGUUUGAUUCUGUAUUCCUUCUUGUGAAAUUUGUGGUAAUGAAUUAACUGAAGUACUGAAUUGGGAAUUAGUUAGCUGGUUAAUCUGCUGGAAUGCCUCUUUUUGCUAGGCAAGGGAGGAACUUGUUCAUGGGGCUGAU